GGGAAGGUGGCUCAGUGGUAAAGCACUUGCCUUGCAUGCAUGAGGCCCUGGGUUCAAUUCCUCAGCACCCA
rfam:Dipodomys ordii contig_60697, whole genome shotgun sequence.